UACGGGGGGGGCAAGCGUUGUUCGGAAUUACUGGGCGUAAAGGGCUCGUAGGCGGUUUGUCGCGUCGGGAGUGAAAACCCAGGGCUUAACCCUGGGCUGGCUUCCGAUACGGGCAGACUAGAGGUAUGCAGGGGAGAACGGAAUUCCUGGUGUAGCGGUGAAAUGCGUAGAUAUCGGAAGGAACACCGGUGGCGAAAGCGGCGCGCUGGACCUCUUCUGACGCUGAGGCGCGAAAGCCAGGGGAGCGAACGGG
rnacentral:rRNA from 1 species